AACAACCCCAUAUGUGGUUGAAAAUACACGGAUUGAUCAAACCAACUAGCCCAACAUAAUCAAGUGUUUCAACAGGCAUAGAUGCCAUAAUAUUCUGACUAAAGAAUAACUACUACUUACUGCCCAUAAUUGGUAGAUUCAAUCGAUAACCCCAAAUUUGCAUUUAACUGAAUUUAACAUAUAAUAAUUGGAAUCACAACGUAAUUACUUGAAGAUCUAAUAUUACACAAAGAAUAUAAAAUAAACUCGAUUGAGGCAUCAACUCCAACACAUAUACAUCUUCAACUCGUUUUUGCAAUCCAGGGAUUUAAAUAAGAUACUUGGAAAAGGGAAGCAGAAAAAUUAAAAUUCGGCAGCAGGAAGAAACAGCAACGUACCCAGCAAUACGAAAUCACCAGUAAAAACAGCUAGAUAUCAAACAAUGGAACAAUAAACACAGCAAAAAACAAAGACUUGAACCAGCACUUUCAGAAUCCCAACUUAAUCCAUUUCUGACCCCAAAGAUGAUUAGCAGUAUUCAGUAACUCAAGGUCUAAGACCAUAAAAAUUCAAUGAAACAGUGUCUUCCUACUCAGAUUUAGCCGUUUUUGUUUUUUUCUCUAUUUUUAUCCCAUAAAUCUCUCCAAACUUUUUCUGAACUUCAUCUCUUCAAAACUCUUUUUUUACUUUAUGAUCCUCGAUGGAACAGUCUUUUUAUCCUAAAUUCUAGCCGUCUGAAUUUAUUGGAAUUUUCAGUUCUUA
rnacentral:lncRNA from 1 species